rnacentral:rRNA from 1 species
UACAGAGGGUGCAAACGUUGCUCGGAAUCAUUGGGCGUAAAGCGCACGUAGGCGGUCUGACAAGUCGGGUGUGAAAGCCCUGGGCUCAACCUGGGAAUUGCAUUGGAUACUGGCAGGCUAGAGUGCGGUAGAGGAUGGCGGAAUUCCCGGUGUAGCAGUGAAAUGCGUAGAGAUCGGGAGGAACAUCUGUGGCGAAGGCGGCCAUCUGGACCAGCACUGACACUGAGGCACGAAAGCGUGGGGAGCAAACAGG